CUCAGCCAUCCAUCUCUCUGCCCCAAGUUAUCUCUCGGACGCAGACCGGCGUGUGCUCCCCUCUCACCCGUCUCUCAGGGUGCCGCGAAACCGGUGCGAAGCUGCUGGGGGAGUUUACAACGUGCCAAACGGAGUGCAAACUCCACGGAGAUUCCGGGCUUGGAAGGCCCGCGGUCCGGAAUUUCCUAAGGGGACUACUUCGCUGGGGCCCUCAAGGUGUAGAAACCGGAGUAUGGCCAGAAGACGAGGGUUCUAGACUGGAUUCAGCGACUGUUUUCCUGUGGAACAUCCAACAGAUCACUUCCCUCUGUGGGCCUUGGUUUCCCAAUCUAUCAGCCGAGGUCUUCACACUGGGAUGCCCACCCUUGGAACCCAGCCACCAGGUUGUGAAGAAGCCCAGGCCACAUGGCAGACGUGACAUGGGAUGAUCUGGCUACCUCUCCCGCUAGGCUCUCAGAUGACAGCAGGUCUCAAUCACCAGAUUGGUGGUGAACUGAGAUGAUUCUGGCCCCCAGCCUUUGUCUUUCAGCCGAGGUCCAGGAUAUGAAGCAGAGACAAGCCAACCUUGCUGUGCCCUGUCUGAAUUUCACUCCCACAGAAAUUGGGAGUUAAGAAGUGAUUAUUGUUGUUUUAAGCCAAAGAGGCUGAUACGAAACCCAGGUUCAGCUGUUCGCCAUUCUAAAGGUCAAUACUUGAGAGACAAGUGUUGGUGGAAAAGGAAAAGUUGCUUUGUUCAGGAGGCCAGAAACCUGGGAAGAUGGUGAACUAAUGUCCUAAGACUGUCUCCAAGUUGCCAGAUUAGCCCAUUAAACACAAAGGACAUGUUGCAAUAAAACUGGGCACGAUGAUCACUGAAUUGGUGAGCCAUUCUGACUCAUAGCGCCCUGCAGCUGCGGUGACCAGGAUGUGGGCAAGCUUCAGGCUGAAGGUUGAGCGUCAUCUUCUUAAAAUGCAGUAAUCGAAGUCCCAACAUUGUCCGGGUACGUUCAGGAAGCACGCUCGCUCCCAGCUGAAAGAUGACUUAAGCUCAGAGGAUGGAGACCGCUGACUGCUCUUGUGAUGUGUUGUUUUGAUGGAAGUAUAUGAAGAAAACCGUCCUCACACAGAUACGGGGUAGGAAAAGUGAUGGGGAACCCUUAGGGGUCCUUGGACCACACUUUGAGAACCAUUGUCCCACAACAUUUGUGGCACUCUGGUAGGCAUUUCUCGGAUAUAUUUUGCACUCAGAGAUUGAUGACAAUGUAAUUCAACAUUGUGUUUUUUGAAAUUGAGGACCUGAAGAGCAGGUCCCUGGGCUAAAGUCACCCUGCUGGUUACAGGGACUCCACUUUAAUUUAUUCCAACCAACUUGGACUCCUCAUCUGUCCUUUUGUCAGUUGUUACGUAAGGCUUCUGGGAGCACAGAACUGCAUAAAGGAUCCCAGACUUCAGGUUGCUCACCAGCCAAGGGCUGGCCAAGCUCACAAGCAAUUGCAAGACCAAAACCAGGCAAACAACCCACUCCAUUUGUGGAAGAGUUAUUCUGUGUGUAUGUGUAUGUGUGUGUCAGUGUUAGAUACACACAGAAAAGUGCACAAAUCAUAACUCAGCUGGACACAUUUUUCAGAAACUGAGCACACCUGUAUCAUAUUUCUUUUUAAGUCAGUUUUUGGAUGGCUUUUGUCAAGAUGCUGGUGGAACAACAGAAAAGCAAGCUGGCCUGGGAGAAUUUGUAAACCCAGGAUCUACGGACCUCUUGGGCUCUUUUUCUUCUUUUGUAAAAUUUGGCCAAGAAUUCUUCUGUAAACAUUUGACUAAAAAAAAAAAUCUCAACAAGUUUUUGUCCACACUUAACAUUCUGUGAGUCUAAAUGGGGAUACUUUGGAGGAUUGGUUUGUUGAAGGGCUGGUUGGGGAUCUCUUUUCUGUUAAAAUAGGGCUAGCUGGGGAAUAAAGCAGGAAGCCUGCCAUCUAGUGGUGAUGAUGUAUAUAUGUUGCUUUUUGCUAAACUGGGCUGAGUUUUCAGAACCAGUCCUUUUCUCCUACCACCAACUUCCUUAAUUACAAGGGUUUUAAUUGUGUCACAGUUAAAAUACUUAAUUGUAUUAGCUACAUUAUAAUAAGUGAAGGGAAUACACUUGUGGUUUGACUGACCACAGGAGAGGGGAGGCCUCUAGCAUCCAUAGUUAAUUGCUCCAAAAUGCUGCCUGCAGACUUUGCCAUGCCAUCAAUGCGUACUUUGGGCAGACCAACAGGCAGGCUGAAAUUAUGAGUACCAUAAGAUCCUGUCUCUGCCUGAGGAUUGCAGACUCCAGGGAGGGACCCAGCUGGAGUUCAUUCUUAGAGCAUAUCUUUAAAAGAGAGAAAUUGUUGGCACUCCCCCCAGCCCACUGGCUUUUGGGUAUUUACUCAUGAAAUGGGCUGUAAUAAAAGGACAAAACUCUGGGUGGAGGCCCUGGACCUGGAAGAGGUCUGAGUUGAGGAGCAGCCCAGGGCUGGGUUUCAAUGGAAGAAGGGGCUGGGUGCUGGAGUGCAAAGACUGAGGAACCAAAGCAGACAGUCUGUGGGUUCUUAGGAGUUAUACCUCCUUCACAUGUCCCCACUCAAAGCCUUGUGGUGAAUCAAGGGACACAAUCUCAACAGAUAAUCCAUUUCUGGCACAACAUGACCAAGGUUUGGAAGGGGAAACUUAAGAAUUGUGGUCCUCAGCCUUGAGAUUAGAAAGAAACCAGCCUAUAAUACUAUGUGCUUGGCCAUUGGGGAGGGUAUAGGUCAGUGGUAGAGAGCAUGUUUAGCAUGCAGAAAGUCCUGGGUUCAAUCCAAGUCCCUCCAUUGAAGAUAAAUAAGUAAUAAAACCUA